rnacentral:lncRNA from 1 species
CGUGGCAUAAAAUAUAGUUUUACAUUUUAAUAUUAAUUAUUUUCAAAAAUUGUAAAAAAUAUGUAAACAUACAGCAUUAAAAAAUGGAAAAACUACAUUAAACAUAUGUAAGAUUACUAUUUUUCACUUAAAAAAAAAAACGGUUUAUCUCCAUAAUGUAACAUUACCGUUUUAUAAAAAAAAAACAAAAAACAUUAUAUAUAAUUUCGAAAAUAAUAAUUAUAAGUAAAACAUACAACAUAAAAAUGGAAAUACUACAUUAAACAUAAAUAUGUUUGACUUCUCUACUAAUAAAAGGGAGCUUUUGAGGCUCCAUAGGGCGUCCACAUCAGCGGAAAAAAUUUAUCCCGAAAGAUGAUACGUGGCAUAAAAUAUAGUUUUACAUUUUAAUAUUAAUUAUUUUCGAAAAUUGUAAAAACUACUAAUAAAAGGGAGCUUUUGAGGCUCCAUAGGGCGUCCACAUCAGCGGAAAAAAAUUAUCCCGAAAGAUGACACGUGGCAUAAAAUAUAGUUUUACAUUUUAAUAUUAAUUAUUUUCGAAAAUUGUAAAAAAUAUGUAAACAUACAGCAUUAAAAAAUGGAAGCGUCCACAUCAGCGAAAAAAAAUUAUCCCGAAAGAUGACACGUGGCAUAAAAUAUAGUUUUACAUUUUAAUAUUAAUUAUUUUCAAAAAUUGUAAAAAAUAUGUAAACAUACAGCAUUAAAAAAUGGAAAAACUACAUUAAACAUAUGUAAGAUUACUAUUUUUCACUUAAAAAAAAAGACGGCUUAUCUCCAUAAUGUAACAUUACCGUUUUAUAAAAAAAAAAACAAAAAACAUUAUAUAUAAUUUCGAAAAUAAUAAUUAUAAGUAAAACAUACAACAUAAAAAUGGAAAUACUACAUUAAACAUAAAUAUGUUUGACUUCUCUACUAAUAAAAGGGAGCUUUUGAGGCUCCAUAGGGCGUCCACAUCAGCGGAAAAAAUUUAUCCCGAAAGAUGAUACGUGGCAUAAAAUAUAGUUUUACAUUUUAAUAUUAAUUAUUUUCGAAAAUUGUAAAAAAUAUGUAAACAUACAGCAUUAAAAAAUGGAAAAACUACAUUAAACAUAUGUAAGAUUACUAUUUUUCACUUAAAAAAAAAAGACGGCUUAUCUCCAUAAUGUAACAUUACCGUUUUAUAAAAAAAAAACAACAAACAUUAUAUAUAAUUUCGAAAAUAAUAAAUAUAAGUAAAACAUACAACAUAAAAAUGGAAAUACUACAUUAAACAUAAAUAUGUUUGACUUAUCUCCAUAAUGUAACAUUACCGUUUUAUAAAAAAAAACAAAAAACAUUAUAUAUAAUUUUGAAAAUAAUAAAUAUAAGUAAAACAUACAACAUAAAAAUGGAAAUACUACAUUAAACAUAAAUAUGUUUGACUAUUUGUCCAAGUUCUUCUAUUAAAC